rnacentral:misc_RNA from 1 species
UCUCCGUUGGUGAACCAGCGGAGGGAUCAUUACCGAGUGCAAACUCAUAACCCUUUGUGAACCUAUAUCUGUUGCUUCGGCGGCUCGCUCUCGGGCGAGCCCGCCGGUAAUAUCAGUAUCUCUGUUUGAACCCGACGAUACUUCUGAGUGUUCUUAGCGAACAGUUAAAACUUUUAACAACGGAUCUCUUGGCUCUG